UCUUAUUUGUUUUAUUAGAUUUUAAAUUUAAAAUAUUAAAAUUUAAAAUAAAUAUACUAAUAUACUAUACAAUAUACUAAGGCUGAAUUUGAUAUUAAGGUCUAUCUAAUACUAUUAGAUAAAAUGGAGUUGAGGAAUAUGCUUAUGCGUUCUCCGGUCGGGCCGCAGAAAAUAUAUAUCGUAACCGACUCAUCGCAGUAUGCGGAACGUAAUAUUACGUACGAAAAUAAAUAGAAUAUUUUUUCAACGUACUUUUUUAUCUCACAUAACGCAAUCUCUUCACAAUUUCAAACUAAGCCUAAUUCUAUGUAUUUGGAUGUAGAUAAUCCAAUUACCAUAUUACCCUCCAUUGGCACCGCCUCAAGCCACGGUGGAUAGGAGGCCAUGUUAAUGUCUUUCCACAUAUCUCAACCGUUGAUUGAGUAGAAUGGGAUGGCAAUGGAAAACAGGCAAAAAAACGUACAGAAGAAUCUCUCAUCUACACUUGGCGGGACACACGUUCAUGCUCUUCAUUGCGGGACACACGUUUAUGUGAAUACCAUAGAUUUUUUUUAAAAAAAAUAUACCGUUUAUGUUACUGAUAUAAUAUUUCUGAUCAAUUAUAUUAUUUUUUUAUAUUCAUCAAUUCUAUCAUAAUUAAUAAAAAAAUAUUUUUAUUAAUUUUUUUAAAUAAAAAAAUAUGAUUGAUUGGUUUUUGAUUAUACGGUAUAAGUGUUAUACAGUAGAAUUUCUCGUAAGGUAGGAGCUCACAUUUUUUUUUUUGAGAGAAAAGUAAUAUGCUAUUCGUUUUAUUUAUUUUAUUUAAAAAUAAACUUAGUUGAAAAUAUGAGUCAAUUAGGAUUCGAUCUUGUGUCUCAAGUAUCAACCAUUAAGUGUUUUUGCCACUUGCGUUAGAGAUGGUCCGCCUAGGAG
rnacentral:lncRNA from 1 species